UACGGAGGCGGCUAGCGUUGUUCGGAAUUCCUGGGCUUAAAGGGCGCGUAGGCGGCCCAUCAAGUCAGGGGUGAAAGCUUCCGGCUCAACCGGAAAAGUGCCUUUGAUACUGGUGGGCUUGAGGGAGGUAGGGGCAGAUGGAACUUCCGGUGGAGCGGUGAAAUGUGUUGAUAUCGGAAGGAACGCCGGUGGCGAAAGCGAUCUGCUGGAUCUCUACUGACGCUGAGGCGCGAAAGCUAGGGUAGCAAACGGG
rnacentral:rRNA from 1 species